rnacentral:rRNA from 1 species
AACGGUAACAGGAAGCAGCUUGCUGCUUCGCUGACGAGUGGCGGACGGGUGAGUAAUGUCUGGGAAACUGCCUGAUGGAGGGGGAUAACUACUGGAAACGGUAGCUAAUACCGCAUAACGUCGCAAGACCAAAGAGGGGGACCUUCGGGCCUCUUGCCAUCGGAUGUGCCCAGAUGGGAUUAGCUAGUAGGUGGGGUAACGGCUCACCUAGGCGACGAUCCCUAGCUGGUCUGAGAGGAUGACCAGCCACACUGGAACUGAGACACGGUCCAGACUCCUACGGGAGGCAGCAGUGGGGAAUAUUGCACAAUGGGCGCAAGCCUGAUGCAGCCAUGCCGCGUGUAUGAAGAAAGCCUUCAGGUUGUAAAGUACUUUCAGCGGGGAGGAAGGCGAUAAGGUUAAUAACCUUGUCGAUUGACG